rnacentral:rRNA from 1 species
AUUGAACGCUGGCGGCAGGCCUAACACAUGCAAGUCGAACGGUAACAGGAAGAAGCUUGCUUCUUUGCUGACGAGUGGCGGACGGGUGAGUAAUGUCUGGGAAACUGCCUGAUGGAGGGGGAUAACUACUGGAAACGGUAGCUAAUACCGCAUAGCGUCGCAAGACUAAAGAGGGGGACCUUCGGGCCUCUUGCCAUCGGAUGUGCCCAGAUGGGAUUAGCUAGUAGGUGGGGUAACGGCUCACCUAGGCGACGAUCCCUAGCUGGUCUGAGAGGAUGACCAGCCACACUGGAACUGAGACACGGUCCAGACUCCUACGGGAGGCAGCAGUGGGGAAUAUUGCACAAUGGGCGCAAGCCUGAUGCAGCCAUGCCGCGUGUAUGAAGAAGGCCUUCGGGUUGUAAAGUACUUUCAGCGGGGAGGAAGGGAGUAAAGUUAAUACCUUUGCUCAUUGACGUUACCCGCAGAAGAAGCACCGGCUAACUCCGUG